GGGGCCGGAGGGCGGUCACCUUGGGCCAGUGCGAGGCCCUGGCUGUGAAAGGCGAUGUGGGCGAGCGCGGCUGCCGCCUUGCUCGCUGCGGCUUUUGGGAGCGCUUCAGGCCAGGGUCAAGUAAGGCUGAGGGGAUUAAGGGGCCCGGGAAGCUGGCACCAGAAGGCGGCAGCACAGCAGGAGGGACAGGUGUUCCUCAUCAGCCCCUUCGCUCUCAUGAUUUCAUUUCUCUGGAGUUAACCUAAACAUCUGGUUGUCCGUUGCUGUUGUACCUGAAGAGGUGACUGUUUGCUGUGAGUUAAUGAUGUUUCUGCUUCUUCCCAUUUUGUUCCUCCUCCUUUUCCUCCUGUAAAGUAACAUUACAAAAGGAACAUACUGUGCAAGAUUUUCUCCUUGCAGUUAAUAAUACCAAACACUCACCUCCUUGAGAAAAAUGUCCUUUAACAUGUACCAGAAUAAUAAUAAUAAAAAUCCCCUAUGCUCUGGUAUGUUACUGUGUUGUGUGCUUAAUCCUGAAAAAGAGAGAGCCUUGCCCCAAACACCUUACUGUUUAGUGAGUCAGCGUAUGUAACCAACGUUAGGAAAAACAAGGGAGAAUAAGGGA